rnacentral:rRNA from 1 species
CUUAAAUUGAAGAGUUUGAUCAUGGCUCAGAUUGAACGCUGGCGGCAGGCCUAACACAUGCAAGUCGAGCGGAAACGACACUAACAAUC